rnacentral:rRNA from 1 species
GACGAACGCUGGCGGCGUGCCUAAUACAUGCAAGUAGAACGCUGAAGGAAGGAGCUUGCUCUUUCCGGAUGAGUUGCGAACGGGUGAGUAACGCGUAGGUAACCUGCCUGGUAGCGGGGGAUAACUAUUGGAAACGAUAGCUAAUACCGCAUAACAGUAGAUAUCGCAUGAUAGCUGCUUGAAAGGUGCAAAUGCACCACUACCAGAUGGACCUGCGUUGUAUUAGCUAGUUGGUGAGGUAACGGCUCACCAAGGCAACGAUACAUAGCCGACCUGAGAGGGUGAUCGGCCACACUGGGACUGAGACACGGCCCAGACUCCUACGGGAGGCAGCAGUGGGGAAUAUUGCACAAUGGGCGAAAGCCUGAUGCAGCGACGCCGCGUGAGGGAUGACGGCCUUCGGGUUGUAAACCUCUUUCGCUCAUGGUCAAGCCGCAACACUUGGUUGUGGUGAGGGUAGUGGGUAAAGAAGCGCCGGCUAACUACGUGCCAGCAGCCGCGGUAAUACGUAGGGGGCAAGCGUUAUCCGGAUUCAUUGGGCGUAAAGCGCUCGUAGGCGGUCUGUUAGGUCGGGAGUUAAAUCCGGGGGCUCAACCCCCGUUCGCUCCCGAUACCGGCAGACUUGAGUUUGGUAGGGGAAGGUGGAAUUCCUAGUGUAGCGGUGGAAUGCGCAGAUAUUAGGAAGAACACCAGUGGCGAAGGCGGCCUUCUGGGCCAUAACUGACGCUGAGGAGCGAAAGCUAGGGGAGCAAACAGG